rnacentral:rRNA from 1 species
GAUGAACGCUGGCGGCGUACCUAAUACAUGCAAGUCGAGCGAACAGACGAGGAGCUUGCUCCUCUGACGUUAGCGGCGGACGGGUGAGUAACACGUGGAUAACCUACCUAUAAGACUGGGAUAACUUCGGGAAACCGGAGCUAAUACCGGAUAAUAUAUUGAACCGCAUGGUUCAAUAGUGAAAGACGGUUUUGCUGUCACUUAUAGAUGGAUCCGCGCCGCAUUAGCUAGUUGGUAAGGUAACGGCUUACCAAGGCGACGAUGCGUAGCCGACCUGAGAGGGUGAUCGGCCACACUGGAACUGAGACACGGUCCAGACUCCUACGGGAGGCAGCAGUAGGGAAUCUUCCGCAAUGGGCGAAAGCCUGACGGAGCAACGCCGCGUGAGUGAUGAAGGUCUUCGGAUCGUAAAACUCUGUUAUUAGGGAAGAACAAAUGUGUAGUAACUAUGCACGUCUUGACGGUACCUAAUCAGAAAGCCACGGCUAACUACGUG